GGAUAGCUCGCCGAAAGGCGAAUUAAUACCGCAUGUGGCCGCAAGGCUAAAGCCGGGGCAACCUGGCGCUUUUUGAUGAGCUCGCGGCCUAUCAGCUAGUUGGCGGGGUAAAAGCCCACCAAGGCUAUGACGGGUAGCUGGUCUGAGAGGACGACCAGCCACACUGGAACUGAGACACGGUCCAGACACCUACGGGUGGCAGCAGUCGAGAAUUUUUCUCAAUGGGGGAAACCCUGAAGGAGCGACGCCGCGUGGAGGAUGAAGGUCUUCGGAUUGUAAACUCCUGUCAUUAGGGAACAAACCUCCCGGUUAACUGCCGGAGAGCUGAUAGUACCUGAAGAGGAAGAGACGGCUAACUCUGUGCCAGCAGCCGCGGUAAUACAGAGGUCUCAACCGUUGUUCGGAUUCAUUGGGCGUAAAGGGUGCGUAGGCUGCGGAGUAAGUCAGGUGUGAAAUCUCGGGGCUCAACCCCGAAACUGCACUUGAUACUGCUUCGCUAGAGUACUGGAGAGGAGACUGGAAUUUACGGUGUAGCAGUGAAAUGCGUAGAUAUCGUAAGGAAGACCAGUGGCGAAGGCGAGUCUCUGGACAGUUACUGACGCUGAGGCACGAAGGCCAGGGGAGCAAACGGGAUUAGAUACCCCGGUAGUCCUGGCAGUAAACGGUGCACGUUUGGUGUGGGAGGAUUCGACCCCUUCCGUGCCGGAGCUAACGCGUAAACGU
rnacentral:rRNA from 1 species